CCUCGGUCCAGUGGCCACCCUGCCCCAGCCUCCAGGACUCCUCAGCACCUGCUGGCCACCGGGCUCCUUUAGGCAUUGAGAGAAGCUGCACUGGGACCCAUGCUUGGAUCUUCUUCCUUCCUCCUCCUCUCUGUGGACUAAGAAGCUUUCACGGAUUCCCCAUGGCAGACGAAAAAAUGACUGUGAUCAGGCCCCUGGGAUGUGUUCUUGCAAGCAUUGCCAAGUGGAAUUGAGAGGGCAGGAAGAGAGAAGACAGAGAGAGAGAAAAAAGAAACUUCCUUGUGUUGGUAAAUAGAGUUGAUGUGAUCUGUGAGCCACUGGGGACAGUGGCUACAGAAGAUGCAAAUGUCACGCUCUUUGGAGUACCUUUGACUGGCUGCCUCCUCUCCACGCAUGCAGGCAGAGGAUGUGCUGCCGGAGCAAGUGCACCAGCUCAAAAUGAAUCUCCCCCACGGCUUCCUCCUGACUGAUUCCUACGUAUCCUUCUCGUCUCAGUCAGGAAACACAUCCUCUGGGAAGUCUUCCAUGACCGUUUAACAUCUAGCAUCUGCCUCCGUGGCAUUCCUCUAGGGACAGGAUCUCUCUCUCAUCCUGACUGGAGUACAGUGAUGACAUCCCAGCUCACCGCAGCUUCGACUUUCCAGGCUCAGGUGAUCCUCCCACCUCAGUCUCCUGGGAGACUACAGGCUCUUGAUCCAUUCCUAUGGUGGGUGACAUAAUGGCCCUUCCGAAGAUGUCCGUGUCCUAAUUCCUGGAGCCUGUGAAUACACUGGCUGCAUGGCAAGGGUGGAGAUUAAGGUUGCAGAUGGAAUGAAGGUUCCAGCUCACCUUAAAAUAGAGAUUAUCUUGGGUUAUCCGAGUGGACCCAGUGUAAUCACAAGGUUUCUUUAAAUGUGAAGGAGAGAGGCAGGAGAAGAUCUACCCUGCUGGCUUUGAAGUUGGAAGGGUGCCACAAGCCACAAGUGAAGGAAUGUGGGCAGCCUCUAGAAGCUGAAAAAGGCAAGAAAGUGGAUUCUUUCUUAAAACACCCAGAAGGGAACACUGCUCUGCAGGCACCUUGAUUUCAGCCUUGUGAGACCCAUUUUGGACAUCUGACCCCCAGAACUGUAAGAUAAUAAAUCUGUGUUGUUUGAAGCCAUC
rnacentral:lncRNA from 1 species